rnacentral:lncRNA from 1 species
CUGUCCUCUUGGCAGUCAUUCAGUCAGUCCCUCUAGGAGAGCAAAGGACGGUAAGCAAGAGCUGCCCAAGGAAUUGUACUGAUGCGGGAGGAAGAAGGAAUACAGUGACAAGCUUGCCAUAAGCCCUAUUUGAGUGUUAUAGUCUGUAAUUGUGGAGAAGGAGAGAGGGAUGUUUGCUCAAGCGGUCCUCCUUCACAGGGCUUUGGAUUGCCUGGAGGUUCUCAUUCAGGAAACUAAUCAAAUCUUUACAUAAUUUUCAUUGACUUGGACG